GAUGAAGAACGUAUCGAAAUGCGAUAAGUAAUGUGAAUUGCAGAAUUCAGUGAAUCAUCGAAUCUUUGAACGCACAUUGCGCCCGCCAGUAUUCUGGCGGGCAUGCCUGUUCGAGCGUCAUUUCAACCAUCAAGCCCCCGGGCUUGUGUUGGGGACCUGCGGCUGCCGCAGGCCCUGAAAAGCAGUGGCGGGCUCGCUGUCACACCGAGCGUAGUAGAUUUUAUCUCGCUCUGGGCGUGCUGCGGGUUCCGGCCGUUAAACCACCCUUUUAACCCAAGGUUGACCUCGGAUCAGGUAGGAAGACCCGCUGAACUUAAGCAUAUCAAUAAGCGGAGGA
rnacentral:misc_RNA from 1 species